AGCAGCCGCGGUAAUUCCAGCUCCAAUAGCGUAUAUUAAAGUUGUCGCAGUUAAAAAGCUCGUAGUUGAAUUUCGAGACCGGCUUACUGGUCGUGCUAUUGUACGUACUGGUAUAAUCGGUUUCUCCUUUCUGACGAACUAUAAUGCCAUUAAUUUGGUGUUAUAGGGAAUCAGGACUGUUACUUUGAAAAAAUUAGAGUGUUUAAAGCAGGCUCACGCUUGAAUACAUUAGCAUGGAAUAACGGAAUAGGACGUUUGAUUCUAUUUUGUUGGUUUCUAGGAUCGACGUAAUGAUUAAUAGGGAUAGUUGGGGGCAUUAGUAUUCAAUUGUCAGAGGUGAAACUCUUGGAUUUAUUGAAGACUAACUACUGCGAAAGCAUUUUGCCAAGGAUGUUUUCAUUAAUCAAGAACGAAAGUUAGGGGAUCGAAGACGAUCAGAUACCGUCGUAGUCUUAACCAUAAACUAUGCCGACUAGGGAUCGGAUGAUGUAAUUUUUUAAUGACUCAUUCGGCGCCUUAC
rnacentral:rRNA from 1 species